GUAGGUGGCAAGCGUUGUCCGGAAUUAUUGGGCGUAAAGCGCGCGCAGGCGGUUCUUUAAGUCUGAUGUGAAAGCCCACGGCUCAACCGUGGAGGGUCAUUGGAAACUGGAGAACUUGGGUACAGAAGAGGAAAGCGGAAUUCCACGUGUAGCGGUGAAAUGCGUAGAGAUGUGGAGGUACACCAGUGGCGAAGGCGGCUUUCUGGUCUGUAACUGACGCUGAGGCGCGAAAGCGUGGGGAGCAAACAGGGAUUAGAUACCCUGGUAGUCCACGCCGUAAACGAUGAGUGCUAAGUGUUAGGGGGUUUCCCGCCCCUUAGUGCUGCAGCUAACGCAUUAAGCACUCCGCCCCGGGGGAGUACGGCCGCAAGGCUG
rnacentral:rRNA from 1 species